CAGGCUGCCCGAGCCAGCAGCGGUAAUCUGCUGUGGUCUUUUUCCACGGUUUGGAAGCUUUAUUUUUUUGCUCUUUGCAAUAAAUAUUGUUGCUGCUAAUUCUUUGAGUCCACACUGCUUUUGUGAGUUGUAGCACUCACCCGAAGGUUUGCAGCUUCACUCCUGAAGCCAGUGAGACCACGAACCCAACGAGAGGAACGAAGAAUUCCAGACGCGCUGCAUUAAGAGCUGUAACACUCACUGCGAAGGUCUGCAGCUUCACUUUUGAAGCCAGCAAGACCACGAACCCAUCAGAAGGAAGAAACUCCAAACACAUCCGAGCAGCAGAAGGAACAAACUCCGGACACGCUGCCUUUAAGAACUGUGACACUCAGAGCGAGGGUCUGCGGCAUCACAUUUGAAGUCAGUGAGACCAAGAACCCACCGAUUCCGGACGCGAGCAGGUUGCUUCAGGGUAUAGACAUUUGGCACAGUACUGCAGCAUAAACCCAUCAAGAUGGAAGUGCCUGGAGCCUGCAGACAGGGUCUCUCCACCCCAGCUGCUGGUCCAACCUGCCUCGCAGGGCGUGACAUGGCUGUUGUCCUCACUGCCUUGUACUCUGCCUCACCAGUCCCA
rnacentral:lncRNA from 10 species